rnacentral:rRNA from 1 species
GACGAACGCUGGCGGCGUGCUUAACACAUGCAAGUAGAACGGAAAGGCCAUGCUUUUGUGGGGUGCUCGAGAGGCGAACGGGUGAGUAACACGUGAGUAACCUGACCUUGACUGUGGGAUAACUUCAGGAAACUGGGGCUAAUACCGGCUAGGAGCUCCUGCUGCAUGGUGGGGGUUGGAAAGUUUCGGCGGUUGGGGAUGGAAUCGCGGCUUAUCAGCUCGUUGGUGGGGUAGUGGCUUACCAAGGCUUUGACGGGUAGCCGGCCUGAGAGGGUGACCGGCCCCAUUGGGCCUGAGAUACGGCCCAGACGCCUUCUGGAGGCAGCAGUGGGGAUUAUUGCACAAUGGGCGGAAGCCGGAUGCAGCAACGCCGCGUGCGGGAGGACUGCCUUCGGGUUGUAACCCGCUUUCGCCUGUGACGAAGCGUGUGUGACGGUAAUUUGUAAAGAAGCACCGGCUAACUACGUG